AUACAGAGGGUGCGAGCGUUAAUCGGAAUUACUGGGCGUAAAGCGCGCGUAGGCGGCUACUUAAGUCAGAUGUGAAAUCCCCGGGCUCAACCUGGGAACUGCAUCUGAUACUGGGUAGCUAGAGUUUAGGAGAGGGAAGUAGAAUUUCAGGUGUAGCGGUGAAAUGCAUAGAGAUCUGAAGGAAUACCAGUGGCGAAGGCGGCUUCCUGGCCUAAAUCUGACGCUGAGGUGCGAAAGCGUGGGUAGCAAACGGGAUUAGAAACCCUAGUAGUCC
rnacentral:rRNA from 1 species